GAUGAACGCUGGCGGCGUGCCUAAUACAUGCAAGUCGAGCGAACAGAUGAGGAGCUUGCUCCUCUGACGUUAGCGGCGGACGGGUGAGUAACACGUGGAUAACCUACCUAUAAGACUGGGAUAACUUCGGGAAACCGGAGCUAAUACCGGAUAAUAUAUUGAACCGCAUGGUUCAAUAGUGAAAGACGGUUUUGCUGUCACUUAUAGAUGGAUCCGCGCCGCAUUAGCUAGUUGGUAAGGUAACGGCUUACCAAGGCAACGAUGCGUAGCCGACCUGAGAGGGUGAUCGGCCACACUGGGACUGAGACACGGUCCAGACUCCUACGGGAGGCAGCAGUAAGGAAUCUUCCGCAAUGGGCGAAAGCCUGACGGAGCAACGCCGCGUGAGUGAUGAAGGUCUUCGGAUCGUAAAACUCUGUUAUUAGGGAAGAACAAAUGUGUAAGUAACUAUGCACGUCUUGACGGUACCUAAUCAGAAAGCCACGGCUAACUACGUG
rnacentral:rRNA from 1 species